AAACUGAGAUGAACAACUUAAUGACGAGAUUUGUCUUGGAAGUCAGACGAAAGGAUGGAAACCCAUAUCCACCCAGAUCCCUUUACCAGCUGUGCGUGGGGCGGACCAAUAAAACAUAUAAAGGUGGUCUUAACCAGCGCAACGUUUCGCCAAAAGUCAUCAAACACAUAUUCUCGGACACUGAGUUGUAUAAUAUUUAUAAAGAGUACAUUUGCCUUGUUCUCAGUGUAUCCGACGACGGGGAUUCGGCUGGACCGUUCUACAGAAGAGCGUUAGAGGGUAGAAAUUUCAGCAAACAAUGUAUUGGUGUAAAUAAAUUGUCAACCAUGAUAAAAUCCAUGUGUGAAGAGGGCGGGUUGAGUGGUAACUUUACCAAUCACUCCGGGAAGCGAACCUGUGCGACGGCUUUGUAUCAGGCGGGGGUAGAGGAACAGGAGAUUAUGGCCCGCACGGGCCACCGUUCCAUCGAAUCUGUUCGCCAAUACAAAAGAGCGUCAGACGACAUGAUGAAGGAAGUAUCCACCGUGUUAGAACCUAAGCGCGUCAGGAAAAGUGAUGAGCCUACCUCUACGAUUACUACAGCUUCUUAACUUCGGUGGAUUUUAAGAUGAUGGUUAUUCAAGUAAAUAUGUGCUCAUAAUAAUUACAUUGUGAACGAUUUGUUAUAC
rnacentral:sRNA from 1 species